rnacentral:rRNA from 1 species
AUAGCGUAUAUUAAAGUUGUUGCAGUUAAAAAGCUCGUAGUUGAAUUUCGGGGGUCUACCAUUGGUCGGGCAAUUGUCUGUACUGGCGUGUGGAAUUUCUACCUUCUGGGGAACUAUCAUGUUAUUAAUUUAGCGUGGUGGGAAACCAGGACCUUUACCUUGAAAAAAUUAGAGUGUUCAAAGCAGGCUUACGUCUGAAUACAUUAGCAUGGAAUAAUAAAAUAGGACGGUGGUCCUGUUUUGUUGGUUUCUGAAUCACCGUAAUGAUUAAUAGGGAUAGUUGGGGGCAUUAGUAUUCAAUUGUCAGAGGUGAAAUUCUUGGAUUUAUUGAAGACUAACUUCUG